GGUGAGACGGGGGAGGGUCUGGCGUAUGAGCGGGGCUCCUGCGGCCCUUUGCCAGUGGCGUCACAUAGAGGCUCCAAGGUGGUGGCGAAGCAGCAUGGAUGUCUUAUUUCUUUUUUCAGAAAGUUUCCUCGGACUCGCGGACCGAACCGUGGAGCCUUGGCGCUUUCACAAGUGGUUUUGUCAGGAGAUGAAUUAGUGAGAACUGAGGCCUUUUCGAGCCACAUGGACCCGACGAACGACUAGUCUUUUCCCUUCAGAGGGAAGUUUCCCUCUUCAGAUCCAGUUUCCUACUGUGGAAACCUCUGAGGCCCUCCCCGAGGAAACUUCUCGACCUUUCCUCGGUCGGAAUCACGUAUUCCCUGCUCCCAAAGUGGCGCCACGACACGGAGGAGUUGGGAUUCGUCAACUCCAAGCCCCCAACACGUGGAAAAAGUGUUAAAAGCUAAAUAUGUAAGAAGUGGCCUUGGCCUCCAGAUUUACAGGCUAGUGAACUACAGACUUACAAAUUAAGAAAACGUGGAGGCAGCGCUUGCUGUACAGAUUUGGCUUCUACAAAAUGCCCUGAACCCCGCUUCCAGCUAGACUUGGCGCCCUUGAACCAGUAGAAAUUCUGGAGCAGCACUCCUGGCUUCGCAGCCACUGCUAGUCACCAGCAGAGUGCCUCUGGUGGUUUACGAGUUUGAACCCAGUGUUUGCCUAGAAGGUGAUGUUCACACAAGUGAGCUCGUCCAGUUCCUGAUGUCAGAACCACACUGUUUUCUAGGAUUAGUUAUUCCAGUUGUUCAAGGAGCAUUGCAUUGGGAGCAGUUGGUUUCAUUUUGCCCCAUGGCUACAAAGUUGGUUCUGGGGAGAUGAAGGACAGAUUGAGAGAACAGAAGGAUCAUUUUAAAUUAAUUACUUCCCUCUCAGUGACACUAUCUUGGCAUAGGAAGGAAGGCAUACGUAGAAGCAAGGGUUCCUCGUGCAUCUGCAAGUUGACGUGAGCCAAUCCAGAAGUAUGUAGAAUUGGUAUCUGGAGUCAAAAUAUUAACUGUUUUAUUUAGAUCUUUACAAAGAACUGUUCCUUCUUCGAAGGAGUUUAUAAUCUGGGUAGAUGAGAAUAAUACAAAUCAGUAAACCUUGAUGAAGGUUUUGAUUCAAGUCGAUGCCAGGGAUGGCCUCCUGAUGCCAGGUCCAGAGCAUUUCCCAUUAUCCCGUCAUGCCCUGGUUAUAAGAGCAAUUGGAGUUCCAAGGAGGAAAGGCCUCCAGACUCCUUAGGACAAGGACCACAGCCCUACUGGCAGGGUGUUGGCGCUGCACAGUGACCUUUGAGGGGAGGAAGUGGCCUUCCCUGCUGAGGGUGGCCUGGUCCUCCACAGGCGGCCCAGGCUAGGCCCCCCUCCCACCAGCACCAGGCAGCGUGCACACGUACAUCAGUCAUGGCUUUCUUGGCCCUCUCGUCGGCAGAGCGGAACUCACUGAUGAGCUCCUCGUGCUCGUUGGAGAUGCGCUGGACAUCCGACUCCAGCUUGCGCUUGACCACGAGGAGGCUUUGGUUCUGGAAGAAAAAAUAAAGACAUUGCCAUGAGGCAGAAGUCUGCACAGCCUUUCCCGUGUCCAGGAAAGAGAAACAACUCUCUCACAGACAUACUUGCCAAACCCCCCAACAGGAAAUGGCCCUGGACCCCCUGCUUGUGGAAGCCGCCAUCCUACCUGGAUGUUGACCUCGUUGUGCCGCUCGGUGAUCUCUACCACCUCCUGCUCCAGCAGCUUGCGGGAGCGCUCGCUGCCCUCCAGGCCCGCGCGCACCUCCUCCAGCUCCGUCUGCAGCAGGCUCAGGCGCCGCUCCUGCAGGUUGUACUGCUCCCGCAGCUCCUCGUGCUGCCGGGCAUCCUCGUCCAUCUGCAUCUGCAGGUCCUGGGGGGGCCAGAGGACCCGGCCUGAGCCCAUCUCCCGGACCCUGGCAUGGUCUGGGCUCAGCAGGGAGCUGGGGUCUGGCUGGGGAGUUCGAGGCCACAGAGGAGGAGAGUGGAAGGUAUCGAUCUGCGCUGGGGGAGUUCCCAGUCUGGUUGCGGCCUAGCUGGCCAGGGCCCAAGUGCCGCCAGAAUUUGUCCAGUGAGAGGUAACCAUAAGGUCAAGGCUUUUCUGAGGACAGAGCACCUUGGGUCUCCAGCAGGCCCUUCUCACUGAGGCCUUCCUCAGUGAUCUUGACCAUUACACCCCCACUGGCUAACCCACAUCUCCCUUCUCCUAUUUGGUUGUUUCUCUGUAGCACGUUAUCGCUGUUUUUAAUACUACAGUUUUAUUUAUGUGUUGUUUAUUGUCUAUCUGCAGGGAUGUCUGUUUAUUAUAUACAUUCUUGUACCCCUAGCACCUAAUACAGUGCCUACGCUGGGCAGGUCUCUAAUAAAAUGUAUGUCGAAUGCAUGGAUCCAGCUACAGAUGCUUUAAAGACCAAUGAUAGCAAUAAAGGAAGACUUCAAUUCUA